AAAUUACACAACACAUUGAUGUACAUAAGACACCAAACAAUUAUUUUUUAUUUAUGAAUGACUCUUGCAACUUUGUAGGAACUAAAUCAUGGAGUUAUACUUAUAAAUGAUAAGAAAAUUUUCUAAUUAUUGUACAUCCAAAUGAGGAAAAAUAUGAAUAAAACACUCAAACUAAUUCAUAUUUUGAUUAUAGUUUUUUCUCUAAUUGUCCUUGUAACAGCUGGUGACUCCGAAUAUCAUGCAUUUUGCACUGCCGACGAGGAUUGUAUAAACAAUGCAUGUUACGAAAAUCAUGUUGCAAAGUGCCAUUUGUAUAUGUGUGUAUGUGAGAUGUAAGUUAUGAUAUUGGUACUUAAGGAAUAAAUGUAUAAUUAUAAUGGUGUAAGUUAUGCUAAAUAAAUUCGAUUGUGGAUUGUGCCAAUAUAAGUAUGUAAGGGUGUAUUUUAAAUUUAUAAUUGUCCAUAAUUGUGAGUUUUGUGGAAUUAUAAUCAAAUGGUUCACUUUGUAAA